rnacentral:rRNA from 1 species
CCAAUAGCGUAUAUUAAAGUUGUUGCAGUUAAAAAGCUCGUAGUUGAAUUUCGGGGUUCUUCCGUUGGUCAGGCUAACAAGUCUGUACUAGCGUGUAGAAUUCCUACCUUCUGGGGAACCAUCAUGUUAUUAAUUUAGCGUGGUGGGAAACCAGGACCUUUACCUUGAAAAAAUUAGAGUGUUCAAAGCAGGCUUACGUCUGAAUACAUUAGCAUGGAAUAAUAAAAUAGGACGGUGGUCCUGUUUUGUUGGUUUCUGAAUCACCGUAAUGAUUAAUAGGGAUAGUUGGGGGCAUUAGUAUUCAAUUGUCAGAGGUGAAAUUCUUGGAUUUAUUGAAGACUAACUUCUGCGAAAGCAUUUGCCAAGGAUGUUUUCAUUAAUCAAGAACGAAAGUUAGGGGAUCGAAGACGAUCAGAUACCGUCGUAGUCUUAACCAUAAACUAUGCCGACUAGGGAUCGGACGAUGUUAAAUUUUAUUGACUCGUUCGGCGCCUUACG